UACAGAGGGGGCAAGCGUUGUUCGGAAUUACUGGGCGUAAAGGGCGCGUAGGCGGCCUUCUAAGUCGAACGUGAAAUCCCCGGGCUCAACCCGGGAACUGCGUCUGAUACUGGAUGGCUUGAGUUCGGGAGAGGGAUGCGGAAUUCCAGGUGUAGCGGUGAAAUGCGUAGAUAUCUGGAGGAACACCGGUGGCGAAGGCGGCAUCCUGGACCGACACUGACACUGAGGAGCGAAAGCCAGGGGAGCAAACGGG
rnacentral:rRNA from 1 species